AAUACUAAAUGUGUCCAUGAGUCGGGCUAGUCCAACCAAAAUUUUGUGAAUUCCGUUUUCCUUAGUUAUGGGAUUUAAGUUUCUUUUCCUUGGUCUCAAUGUGUCGACCAAAAACAAUUGUGUCAUUGGAUUUAAGUGUACGACAGUGUAAUGGCCCAAAUUUGCCCGGCCCGACACAAAUAUUAAAACUCAAUUUAAAAAAUAAAUAAAACCAACAUAAAAACAAAAAAUAUUAAAAGUCCAUUUACAAAUAACAUCAGUCCAUAGUUACAAGCCCAAAAUCAUACAGACCAAAUCAACACGGCCCAAACCUAAAUCCAAAUUUAACCUAGCCCACUAGCCUAAAAAAAAACUUUAGCCCAAUGAGCCCAAAACAAAGAAAGAAUCCGAAAACCCUAGCAAUUUCUGAAGCAAGCUAUCGCGCCGCAAUCGAACACAGACUUUGCCUUCGCACGUGCGCCACUGCCACGUACCGCGCC
rnacentral:lncRNA from 1 species